rnacentral:rRNA from 1 species
AGUCCUGGCCGUAAACGAUGCCGACUAGGUGUUGCAGCGGCCAAGAGCCACUGCAGUGCCACAGUGAAGACGUUAAGUCGGCCACCUGGGGAGUACGAUCGCAAGAUUGAAACUUAAAGGAAUUGACGGGGGCGCACCACCAGGAGUGAAGCCUGCGGUUUAAUUGGAUUCAACGCCGAAAAACUCACCUAAACAGACGGCAGAAUGAAGCUCAAGUUAAUGACUUUAGCUAACUCGCCGAGAGGAAGUGCAUGGCCGUCGACAGUUCGUGCUGUGAAGUGUCUUGUUAAGUCAAGCAACGAACGAGAUCCACGUCCGCAAUUGCCAGCGGGUCCCUUUGGGAUGCCGGGAACCUUGCGGAGACUGCUUGGUGCUAAACCAGAGGAAGGAGUGGGCAACGGCAGGUCAGUAUGCUCCGAUAGUUUAGGGCUACACGCGGGCUGCAAUGGUCGGUACAAUGGGCCGCGACCCCGAAAGGGGGAGCCAAUCCCGAAAGCCGGUCUCAGUCAGGAUUGGGGUUUGUAACUCAGCCCCAUGAAUAUGGAAUUCCUAGUAAACGUGUUUCAUUAAGACACGUUGAAUACGUCCCCGCGCCUUGUACACACCGCCCGUCGUUGCAACCAACUGCAUGGUGGUUGAGGCGCUUGAUUUAAUGCGAGUGUCAAUACUGCUGUGUGCUAGGAGGCAAAAGUCGUAACAAGGUAGCCGUAGGGGAACCUGCGGCUG